GCCACGGUGGUCUAGCGGUCAGAACACUAGCCUUGUAAGCCUGGGGUCCCGGGUUUAAUUCCCGGUGGUGCUC
rfam:Zootermopsis nevadensis contig17553, whole genome shotgun sequence.